rnacentral:tRNA from 1 species
GCGCCCGUGGCUCAAUGGAUAGAGCAUCAGAUUCCGGUUCUGAGGGUUGAAGGUUCGAGUCCUUCCGGGCGUA